GCCGGAUUCGGUUCCGGCACGGCCGCUCAUCGUGCCCGCCCUGCUCCCGCGGUUUACAGCGGGCAUAGAGCUGUCCCCUGCACGUCUCCCCGGCGCGUCUCCUGUCCCCUCUUCUCCUUUUAGACUCAGCACCGCCACUGGGCCGGCCCGAGCUUCACGCCUCACGCGGGCUCCCCUUCUCCCGGCACCGGGGCACCGGCACCGCAGCCCAGUUGUGUUUGGAGCUGGGGCUGUACAAGGAGGAGGAGAAUGAGAAGAAAGAAGAUGGAGGAGCGGACAUCCUGCCUGGCGAGAUAACACAAGAUGCUGACCACUGACCUCUCAGGAGGGUACCGUCCUUCAGAAACCGGUGAGCGUGGCUCCCCACAUCACCUCUGGCUCAGGGAACACGGAGCUGUGGAGAGAAUGCGGACUUCAGACAGUUGUAAAGAGAUGGAUUUCAGCCGGAGUGCCUCUCUGUGCGGCCUCAUUUGUUAAGUGGGUUUAAUAAAACCUCUCUGA